rnacentral:rRNA from 1 species
ACCCGCACAAGCAGCGGAGCGUGUGGUUUAAUUCGAUGCUACACGAAGAACCUUACCAAGGUUUGACAUGCAAGUGGUAGUGAUCUGAAAAGUGAACGACCCUUCGGGGAGCUUGCACAGGUGCUGCAUGGCUGUCGUCAGCUCGUGUCGUGAGAUGUUCGGUUAAGUCCGCUAACGAGCGCAACCCUCACUGUGUGUUAUACGUGUCACACGGGACUGCCGGUUUUAAGCCGGAGGAAGGCGAGGAUGACGUCAAGUCAGCAUGGCCUUUAUAUCUUGGGCUACACACACGCUACAAUGGUCUGUACAAUAGGUUGCCAAGCCGCGAGGCGGAGCCAAUCCUAAAAGCAGGCCUCAGUUCAGAUUGUAGGCUGCAACCCGCCUGCAUGAAGAUGGAGUUGCUAGUAACCGCAGGUCAGCUAUACUGCGGUGAAUACGUUCCCGGGUCUU